rnacentral:rRNA from 1 species
GAUGAACGCUAGCGGCAGGCUUAACACAUGCAAGUCGAGGGGUAGAAGGAGCUUGCUCCUUUGAGACCGGCGCACGGGUGCGUAACGCGUAUGCAAUCUACCUUUUGCAGAGGAUAGCCCAGAGAAAUUUGGAUUAAUACCUCAUAGUAUAGUACUUUGGCAUCAAGGAACUAUUAAAGUCACAACGGCAAAAGAUGAGCAUGCGUCCCAUUAGCUAGUUGGUAAGGUAACGGCUUACCAAGGCUACGAUGGGUAGGGGUCCUGAGAGGGAGAUCCCCCCACACUGGUACUGAGACACGGACCAGACUCCUACGGGAGGCAGCAGUGAGGAAUAUUGGACAAUGGGCGCAAGCCUGAUCCAGCCAUGCCGCGUGCAGGAUGACGGUCCUAUGGAUUGUAAACUGCUUUUAUAC